AUUAAUUUGAUCUCUCCACCCGCUCCUCCAGGUUCUUCCAUUUGGCUUUUGAAGAGGAGUUUGGAAGAGUCAAGGGCCACUUUGGACCUAUCAACAGUGUUGCCUUCCAUCCUGAUGGCAAGAGCUACAGCAGCGGUGGUGAAGAUGGGUAUGUCCGAAUCCACUACUUCGACCCACAGUACUUCGAGUUUGAGUUUGAAGCUUAAGGUGCUGGAUCUCCAUCAAGGCCGGGGAGGCUGUGCACAGAAGGUUUUAGACUCUGAGAAAUAAAUUAGUUUGUUAAUAAAUGGUCCUGGUCAGGUA